rnacentral:rRNA from 1 species
CCUACGGGGGGCAGCAGUGGGGAAUAUUGCACAAUGGGCGCAAGCCUGAUGCAGCCAUGCCGCGUGUGUGAAGAAGGCCUUCGGGUUGUAAAGCACUUUCAGCGGGGAGGAAGGCGGUGAGGUUAAUAACCUCAUCGAUUGACGUUACCCGCAGAAGAAGCACCGGCUAACUCCGUGCCAGCAGCCGCGGUAAUACGGAGGGUGCAAGCGUCAAUCGGAAUUACUGGGCGUAAAGCGCACGCAGGCGGUCUGUCAAGUCGGAUGUGAAAUCCCCGGGCUCAACCUGGGAACUGCAUUCGAAACUGGCAGGCUAGAGUCUUGUAGAGGGGGGUAGAAUUCCAGGUGUAGCGGUGAAAUGCGUAGAGAUCUGGAGGAAUACCGGUGGCGAAGGCGGCCCCCUGGACAAAGACUGACGCUCAGGUGCGAAAGCGUGGGGAGCAAACAGGAUUAGAUACCCUUGUAGUC